rnacentral:rRNA from 1 species
GACGGAGGCGGCCAGCGUUAUCCGGAAUUAUUGGGCGUAAAGCGUCCGCAGGCGGCUAAUUAAGUCUGUUGUUAAAGGUCACAGCUCAACUGUGGGUCGGCAAUGGAAACUGAGUAGCUAGAGCGUGGUAGGGGUAGAGGGAAUUCCCGGUGUAGCGGUGAAAUGCGUAGAUAUCGGGAAGAACACCAGUGGCGAAGGCGCUCUACUGGGCCAUGACUGACGCUGAGGGACGAAAGCUAGGGGAGCGAAAGGG